CGAGUUUACCGCACUAAUGCGUUGACGCCGUGCAGCCUCACGCACGGGGUGAUCCGCGCUAACUCGCUAAUGGAGAUUUGCUGCGUUAAUGCAGUUAUGGCAUUAAUGUCAUAGGGUUUAUGUCAGUGUUUUAUUUGUUCCUGAGAAAAUCAGUUUGACUGAAAUUAAAGUUUGGAUUCUUCGCACAGCUGAAUAUGCUGUACAAACGUCAAACAGAAAAAUGAUGAAACAGAAGUGUGAGAUGGUAGAGAAUUUACUCCAAUGUACUGUCAUAUUUCAGGGAGUAAGGAGCAGCCGGCUGAGCCCAAACUCCAGGGUGAAAAUGAACACCUGUUCACAGCGUGCCAAGAACUCAGCCGCUGUGGGUUGGAGGGCAAGUCUUGAGAAGAUUGGCCUGGCGGGGAAAAUCACUCUGUUGCAGGCAGGAAAAAAAAUUGGACAAUCUAAGAAAAAAUACAAAGAUUGCAACUAUCCCACGUCAGGUGAGGGGGUGAGGGGAUGAGUGGGAAGACCACUGCUGCUGCAUGGCCCUGGUUUGCCCUCAUGGAUGAGGUGUUAGGACAGAGGCCUUCUACCAGGCCUCCAGUUGUAAUUGACUCCAGGGCCCAGUUCAGCAGUGGGCACCCAAGUGCAGGAUGACGAACGGCAGGAGGAUGAGGCCCAGCUGGAGCCAAGACUGGAAAAGAGAAAGAGGGACAGGGAGGAUGAAUUCCUGGAAUUAAUCAAAGAGGACAUGAGGCUGCAGAGGGAGAUGGAAGAAAGACGUGCUGAGCUAAUGGACAGGCUGAUAUGUCUACUGGAGAAGGUUGUGGGAAAAAAACGAGUAAAGUAUUGUAAAUGCAACCCAUUGUAUGAGAGAGUUACACUUUUUAUAUGAAUGUUUGUGCAAAAUAUGUACAAAGAAUACAAAAUAAUUUAAGUUCUGUAAAUACAAGUCACACUUUAUUUGAUUUGUUGGACAAACAAUGUACUACAUUAACAGAAUGUAUGAA